rnacentral:sRNA from 1 species
UGCAUCUGAAGCCUGACGAGGAUGAGAACCUCCGGGGGCAAGAGGUUCGACUCGAGCGCAGCGAGAGAACGUUGCGUCAGCAACGGCCCGCAGGGCGAGUCAUCCUCUAUCACCGGCAG